CCUACGGGUGGCAGCAGUGGGGAAUAUUGCGCAAUGGGCGAAAGCCUGACGCAGCGACGCCGCGUGAGGGAUGAAGGUCUUCUGAUCGUAAACCUCUGUCAGCAGGGAAGAACGGUCACGGGGCUAAGCAGCAGUGAAUUGACGGUACCGGCAAAGGAAGCACCGGCUAACUCCGUGCCAGCAGCCGCGGUAAUACGGAGGGUGCGAGCGUUAAGCGGAAUUACUGGGCGUAAAGCGCUCGUAGGCGGUAUGUCAAGUCAAGGGGGAAAUCCCCGCGCUCCACGUGGGAACUGCCUUUUAAACUGGCAACCUGGUGUGUGUGCGAGGCUAGUGGACUUCCCGGUGUAGUCGU
rnacentral:rRNA from 1 species